GCCAGGCACAGUGGCGCAUGCCUGUGAUCCCAGUGGCUUGGGAGGCUGAGGCAGGAGGAUCACAAGUUCGAAGCCAGCUUUGGCAACUCAGUGAGGCCCUAUCUCUA
rnacentral:sRNA from 1 species